UUGCUCCCUGAUGUUAGCGGCGGACGGGUGAGUAACACGUGGGUAACCUGCCUGUAAGACUGGGAUAACUCCGGGAAACCGGGGCUAAUACCGGAUGGUUGUUUGAACCGCAUGGUUCAAACAUAAAAGGUGGCUUCGGCUACCACUUACAGAUGGACCCGCGGCGCAUUAGCUAGUUGGUGAGGUAACGGCUCACCAAGGCAACGAUGCGUAGCCGACCUGAGAGGGUGAUCGGCCACACUGGGACUGAGACACGGCCCAGACUCCUACGGGAGGCAGCAGUAGGGAAUCUUCCGCAAUGGACGAAAGUCUGACGGAGCAACGCCGCGUGAGUGAUGAAGGUUUUCGGAUCGUAAAGCUCUGUUGUUAGGGAAGAACAAGUACCGUUCGAAUAGGGCGGUACCUUGACGGUACCUAACCAGAAAGCCACGGCUAACUACGUGCCAGCAGCCGCGGUAAUACGUAGGUGGCAAGCGUUGUCCGGAAUUAUUGGGCGUAAAGGGCUCGCAGGCGGUUUCUUAAGUCUGAUGUGAAAGCCCCCGGCUCAACCGGGGAGGGUCAUUGGAAACUGGGGAACUUGAGUGCAGAAGAGGAGAGUGGAAUUCCACGUGUAGCGGUGA
rnacentral:rRNA from 1 species